GUAAGGAACGACCCUUAUAUAUGUUUAAUUCUCUUUUUUAUUAGUUUUCUGUCAAGAUAGCUUGUUUGGUGCAAAUAAAAGAAAGGGCAUGAUGAAGAUUAACAUCGCAACGUGCGCUGCACUAAGUAGGGACGCGUCUGACGAGAACGCGCAUCGAGAGAGAGCGCGUGGAGAGAGAAUAAAGCAUUCGCAUUGGCUAAUUUCGCCAAGUAGACCAAUCAAUUUUCUCUGUGUUGAUGACUGUGUGUCAGCACUAUGGUAGUUUAGACGAUAAACAAUUAAUACUUAUUUAAUUUGUCUUGCCGUUCCAGGUGGAGUUUUCUGGAGGGUUAAUGAGGGUUAAAGAAAUACAAAUUAAUAAUGUUAUACGCCAAAUGGCGUUCAGACAAUAGCACCGCCAGCAGGUGAUUAAGAGAAACUACAUGCAAUUUUUGUUUGCAAAAAACACCUUUUCUUGGAUGAGAUUGUUGCUUAACAGCAAUUAUUGUUCCACUCACUCACUCACACACUCAGUUCAGUUCCAUAGCAACCUACUAACCCUCUCCAUGGUUACCGACAACACUAAGAAGUAUUAGGUUCAUGCAGGUGCAGGUAUGCAGACUUCCAAUGUGUUCAAAGUCUACGCUGACAGGAGGUCACUGAACGACUACCAUGAUGAUGUGACUUUGAGCUGAAAACUACUACAGUAAGAUGAACAAGGAUAAAAAUGAGCCCCAGCUUUUCCAAGCUGCAGGGGUCCUGAGGUACAGUCGAGAGUCUGACAAGCCCAGGGUGAACUUGGCUACUGUCCUAUCAGAGCCCUCACCAUUAGCCAAAGACGAAAUCACGUGUGAA